UACGUAGGAGACGAGCGUUGUCCGGAAUCACUGGGCGUAAAGCGCGUGUAGGCGGAUCGGCAAGUCUGCUGUGAAAGCUCCUGGCUUAACCGGGAGUGGUCGUGGAAACUGCCAGUCUGGAGGACGGUAGAGGUAGGUAGAAUUCCCGGUGUAGUGGUGAAAUGCGUAGAGAUCGGGAGGAAUACCUGUGGCGAAGGCGGCCUACUGGGCCGGACCUGACGCUGAGACGCGAAGGCGUGGGGAGCGAACGGG
rnacentral:rRNA from 1 species